UACGAAGGGGGCUAGCGUUGUUCGGAAUUACUGGGCGUAAAGCGCACGUAGGCGGACUAUUAAGUCAGGGGUGAAAUCCCGGGGCUCAACCCCGGAACUGCCUUUGAUACUGGAGAUCUCGAGUCCGGAAGAGGUGAGUGGAACUCCGAGUGUAGAGGUGAAAUUCGUAGAUAUUCGGAAGAACACCAGUGGCGAAGGCGGGCCUCUGGGCCGAUACUGACGCUGAGGAGCGAAAGCGUGGGGAGCGAACAGG
rnacentral:rRNA from 1 species